CAAGUCGAACGCGAAAGGGGCUUCGGCCCUGAGUAGAGUGGCGAACGGGUGAGUAACACGUGGGUGAUCUACCUUCGAGUGGGGGAUAACGUUCCGAAAGGAGCGCUAAUACCGCAUGACGUUCUGGGUUUGAAGACCUGGAAACCAAAGCCGGGGACCGCAAGGCCUGGCGCUUGGAGAGGAGCCCGCGUCCGAUUAGCUAGUUGGCGGGGUAAUGGCCCACCAAGGCGACGAUCGGUAGCCGGCCUGAGAGGGCGGACGGCCACACUGGAACUGAGACACGGUCCAGACUCCUACGGGAGGCAGCAGUGGGGAAUUGUUCACAAUGGGCGCAAGCCUGAUGACGCAACGCAGCGUGGGGGAUGAAGGUCUUCGGAUUGUAAACCCCUGUCGAACGGGACGAAAGACUCGCGAGCUAAUCAUCGCGAGAGUGACGGUACCGUUAAAGGAAGCCACGGCUAACUCUGUGCCAGCAGCCGCGGUAAUACAGAGGUGGCAAGCGUUGUUCGGAAUUACUGGGCGUAAAGGGCGAGUAGGUGGCCAUCUAAGUCAGACGUGAAAUCCCCCGGCUUAACCUGGGAACUGCGUCUGAUACUGGACGGCUUGAGUAUGGGAGAGGAACGUAGAAUUCCAGGUGUAGCGGUGAAAUGCGUAGAUAUCUGGAGGAAUACCGGUGGCGAAGGCGGCGUUCUGGACCAUUACUGACACUGAACCGCGAAAGCUAGGGGAGCAAACGGGAUUAGAUACCCCGGUAGUCCUAGCCCUAAACGAUGAAUGCUUGGUGUGGCGGGUAUCGAUCCCCUGCCGUGCCGAAGCUAACGCAUUAAGCAUUCCGCCUGGGGAGUACGGUCGCAAGGCUGAAACU
rnacentral:rRNA from 1 species